CGGCCCGGUAACGAUGUCGACUUGGAGGUUGUUCCCUUGAGGAGUGGCUUCCGGAGCUAACGCGUUAAGUCGACCGCCUGGGGAGUACGGCCGCAAGGUUAAAACUCAAAUGAAUUGACGGGGGCCCGCACAAGCGGUGGAGCAUGUGGUUUAAUUCGAUGCAACGCGAAGAACCUUACCUACUCUUGACAUCCACGGAAUUUGGCAGAGAUGCUUUGGUGCCUUCGGGAACCGUGAGACAGGUGCUGCAUGGCUGUCGUCAGCUCGUGUUGUGAAAUGUUGGGUUAAGUCCCGCAACGAGCGCAACCCUUAUCCUUUGUUGCCAGCGAUUCGGUCGGGAACUCAAAGGAGACUGCCGGUGAUAAACCGGAGGAAGGUGGGGAUGACGUCAAGUCAUCAUGGCCCUUACGAGUAGGGCUACACACGUGCUACAAUGGCGCAUACAAAGAGAAGCGACCUCGCGAGAGCAAGCGGACCUCACAAAGUGCGUCGUAGUCCGGAUCGGAGUCUGCAACUCGACUCCGUGAAGUCGGAAUCGCUAGUAAUCGUGGAUCAGAAUGCCACGGUGAAUACGUUCCCGGGCCUUGUACACACCGCCCGUCACACCAUGGGAGUGGGUUGCAAAAGAAGUAGGUAGCUUAACCUUCGGGAGGGCGCUUACCACUUUGUGAUUCAUGACUGGGGUGAAGUCGUACAAGGGGUACCAAAA
rnacentral:rRNA from 1 species